AACGAACGCUGGCGGCAGGUUUUAGGCAUGCAAGUCGAACGGGUGUAGCAAUACACCAGUGGCGCACGAGUGAGUAACGCGUGGGAAGCUGCCCUUCACUGGGGAAUAACGUUUGGAAACGAACGCUAAUACCGCAUACGCCCGAAAGGGGAAAGAUUUAUCGGUGAAGGAUGCGCCCGCGUUGGAUUAGCUUGUUGGUGGGGUAACGGCCUACCAAGGCGAUGAAGCAUAGCUGGUCUGAGAAGACGAUCUGCAACGCUGGAACUGAGACACGGUCCAGACUCCUACGUGAUGCAGCAACUAAGAAUAUUGGGCUAUGGAGGAAACUCUGACCCAGCUAUGCCGCGUGAGUAAAGAAGGCCUUCGGGUUGUAAAGUUCUUUAAGUGGUGAAGAUGGUGACAGUAACUACAGAAAAAGCACCGGCUAACUUCGUGCCAGCAGCCGCCGUAA
rnacentral:rRNA from 1 species